CAGUCACAUCACAUUGAAACACCAGCUCCCAUAUGAUUAUUGAAGUUAAGCAAUGUUGAGCCUGGUCAGUACCUAGAUGGGUGACCAUUUGGGAAUACUAGGUGCUGUAAG